GCCUACGGGGCGCAGCAGUAGGGAAUCUUCCACAAUGGGCGAAAGCCUGAUGGAGCAACGCCGCGUGGGUGAAGAAGGUCUUCGGAUCGUAAAACCCUGUUGUUAGAGAAGAAAGUGCGUGAGAGUAACUGUUCACGUUUCGACGGUAUCUAACCAGAAGGCCACGGCUAACUACGUGCCAGCAGCCGCGGUAAUACGUAGGUGGCAAGCGUUAUCCGGAUUUAUUGGGCGUAAAGAGAACGCAGGCGGUCUUUUAAGUCUGAUGUGAAAGCCUUCGGCUUAACCGGAGUAGUGCAUUGGAAACU
rnacentral:rRNA from 1 species